rnacentral:rRNA from 1 species
AGCCGGGGCUUCUUCUCCUGCUACCGUCAUCAUCUUCGCAGGUGAAAGAGCUUUACAACCCUAAGGCCUUCUUCACUCACGCGGCAUGGCUGGAUCAGGCUUGCGCCCAUUGUCCAAUAUUCCC